AGAGUUUGAUCAUGGCUCAGGAUGAACGCUGGCGGUAUGCCCUAUACAUGCAAGUCGUACGAGAGUUUUAAACUCAAGUGGCGGACGGGUGAGUAACGCGUAAGAAUUUGCCUUUAGGAGAGGGACAACAGCUGGAAACGGCUGCUAAUACCUCAUAUGCUUUCGAGUGAAAUGGAUUUUCCGCCUAGAGAGAAGCUUGCGUCUGAUUAGCUUGUUGGUAAGGUAAUGGCUUACCAAGGCGACGAUCAGUAUCUGGUUUGAGAGGACGAUCAGACACACUGGAACUGAGACACGGUCCAGACUCCUACGGGAGGCAGCAGUAGGGAAUUUUCCGCAAUGGGCGAAAGCCUGACGGAGCAAUACCGCGUGAGGGAUGAAUGCCUAUGGGUUGUAAACCUCUUUUUUCAGGGAGGAACACAAUGACGUGUACCUGAAGAAUAAGCAUCGGCUAACUCCGUGCCAGCAGCCGCGGUAAGACGGAGGAUGCAAGUGUUAUCCGGAAUCACUGGGCGUAAAGCGUCUGUAGGUGGUCCAAUAAGUCAACUGUUAAAUCUUGAGGCUCAACCUCAAAAUCGCAGUCGAAACUAUUAGACUAGAGUAUAGUAGGGGUAAAGGGAAUUUCCAGUGGAGCGGUGAAAUGCGUAGAGAUUGGAAAGAACACCGGUGGCGAAGGCACUUUACUGGGCUAUUACUAACACUCAGAGACGAAAGCUAGGGUAGCAAAUGGGAUUAGAUACCCUAGUAGUCC
rnacentral:rRNA from 1 species